GCAUCCUCGGAGCAUCCUGCAUCCCACCGCUCUUCCCGGGAACGCCCCCUCUGCGAUGCCAGGGAGAUGCUCCAGCAGCACCCGCCUGCCCCAUGGGAUGCCUGACCCCAUAGGAGGAUGCUGAGGAUGGUCUGGAUGAUGCCGAUUCUGCUUUUGGGAUCAAGCAGCCCGAGGCUCCGGACCCAAGCCCUGGGAUGCUCUGGAUGCUCUCUGAGCCCUGUGUCCAUGGGGACCGAAGGAAAGAGGAGCUCCCGGGUAGGUGCAGGGAUGAUGGGCACGGUGCAGCCGGUGCCGUCAGAUGGUGCAGCGGGUGAGGAGUCCUGCUUCCAGGGAUGCUGCUGCCUCCUGUCCUGCUCUGCAUCUCCCCCAGCACCGCGGUGCUGAGCCUGGGCAAGACACCAAGGAGCACCCAACUCAUCAGGGAGACCAAGGCACGGGGUAAGGCGGGAUGAGAUGUGCCGGGACGUGGGGUACCACGAGCUGCCGUCACCCCCUCUCCUCUCUUCUAGACCAAUGGAGCAGCACCCACAAGGUCUCCACCAGG